UACGUAGGGUGCGAGCGUUGCCCGGAUUUAUUGGGCGUAAAGGGCGCGUAGGCGGCUCGGCACGUCCGUUGUGAAAUCGCCCGGCUCAACUGGGCGGGGUCAGCGGAUACGGUCGAGCUUGAGCAAGCUAGGGGGCAAUGGAAUUCCCGGUGUAGUGGUGGAAUGCGUAGAUAUCGGGAGGAACACCAGUGGCGAAGGCGGUUGCCUGGAGCUUUGCUGACGCUGAUUGCGCGAAAGCGUGGGGAGCGAGUCCGG
rnacentral:rRNA from 1 species